UACGGAGGGUGCGAGCGUUGUCCGGAAUCACUGGGCGUAAAGGGUGCGCAGGUGGGUUUGCAAGUUUGAUGUGAAAGCCCCGGGCUUAACCCGGGAAUGGCAUUGAAUACUGCAGAUCUGGAGGAUUGGAGGGGGGACUGGAAUUCUUGGUGUAGCAGUGAAAUGCGUAGAUAUCAAGAGGAACACCAGUGGCGAAGGCGAGUCCCUGGACAAUACCUGACACUGAGGCACGAAAGCUAGGGGAGCAAACAGG
rnacentral:rRNA from 1 species